GCAUGUCUAAGUACAAGCCGCUAGUCGGCGAAACCGCGAAUGGCUCAAUAAAUCAGUUAUGGUUCCUUAGAUCUUUCCAUCCUACUUGGAUAACUGUGGUAAUUCUAGAGCUAAUACAUGCACCACAAGCCCCGACUCGUCCGGCGUCAAAACCGGGCCGUAGAAGGGGUGCUUUUAUUAGAUCAAAACCAAUCGGGCGCCUUCGCGGGUGCCCGUUCCAUUUGGUGACUCUGAAUAACUUUCCGCUGAUCGCACGGCCUCCGCGCCGGCGACGCAUCUUUCAAAUGUCUGCCUUAUCAACUUUCGAUGGUAGGUUAUGCGCCUACCAUGGUUGCAACGGGUAACGGGGAAUCGGGGUUCGAUUCCGGAGAGGGAGCCUGAGAAACGGCUACCACAUCCAAGGAAGGCAGCAGGCGCGCAAAUUACCCACUCCCGGCACGGGGAGGUAGUGACGAAAAAUAACGAUACGGGACUCUUCCGAGGCCCCGUGAUUGGAAUGAGUACACUUUAAAUCCUUUAACGAGGACCUAUUGGAGGGCAAGUCUGGUGCCAGCAGCCGCGGUAACUCCAGCUCCAAUAGCGUAUAUUAAAGUUGUUGCGGUUAAAAAGCUCGUAGUUGGAUUCCUGUCUUCGGCCGGGCGGUGCCGCCCGAUAAUCAAGGGCGUCGCACUGCCUUGGGAGCGUUGGUGUCAAAGCCGCGCUCUUUUAACGGUCGGACAAUACCACCGGAGUGG
rnacentral:rRNA from 1 species